UGUCCAGUAGCACCUUAGAGACCAACUAAGUUAGUUCUGGGUAUAAGCUUUCGUGUGCAUGCACACUUCUUCAGAUGUAUACCCAGAACUAACUUAGUUGGUCUCUGAGGUGCUACUGGACA